GAUCAUGGCUCAGGAUGAACGCUAGCUACAGGCUUAACACAUGCAAGUCGAGGGGCAGCAUGGUCUUAGCUUGCUAAGGCCGAUGGCGACCGGCGCACGGGUGAGUAACACGUAUCCAACCUGCCGUCUACCCUUGGACAGCCUUCUGAAAGGAAGAUUAAUACAAGAUAGGCAUCAUGAGUUCACAUGUUCACAUGAUUAAGGUAUUCCGGUAGACGAUGGGG
rnacentral:rRNA from 1 species